UCCUGAGUCCAAUUGGGGGACUCAGUGGGGAGUCUGUGGGGGUAGAGUGAGGACCCAUCCCGCUGGAGGUAGAAACCUCUGGGGGUACCUCUGGGGUACCUGAAACCUCUGGGGGUACAGUGAGGACCCAUCCUNCGGAGCCCAGUGAGGGAAGCCCCUCGGUGGCUGGCCAGAGGCUCCUCCCAUGGGUUGUCCCUGGCGCUGGGCACAGCCGUGUCCUGAGAGGAUCCCUCCUAUGGAUGGAGAUUGGACGCCUGCGUGUCUAAGCUGCAUGACUGUGAUUCUCCUCUAUCCAGCUUUCUCUGCGACCUUGGCUGAGUCACAUCACCUCCUUAUUCUUGUGAGAGAAGGGCCAGUAUUGCACCGGGCCGUCCAGAUCGAAACCCCAUGCCUGGGAUUCCAUGAGUCGUCCUGCUGUCUCCCGGCCAAGCUCCGAGUGCUCCUCCGAGGAACUGAGCUGAGAGAACAAUGCCCCAUGAUUGGCUCUGGUGCGUCCCCAAGGGCAGAGCAGCAGGUGAGCAGGGGAGCCCUGAUUGCAGGGCCAGUGAUGAGCUGAGAGGGAUUGAUUAGCUUCUUAAGUCAAGUGGCUCCAAAGUUCCCCCAGUGUGCACACCCCUGCCCUUGGCCCUGUCCCUAGGGCCGCAUGUUGUGUCCCCAGCAGCAGGCAACCUCCUCCAUCUAACAGUCUCCUUUGUUUUCCCUUCCAUGAAUUGGGGUUUAAGGAGUUAAAAAAGAAAGAAGGGAAACACCUAGGGCAUUAAAUCCACACAAGGACCCCCUGUGAGUGGUUGUUACUACUCCCAGUUUAUGGAUGACUCAACCAACGCUCAGAGAAGGAAGUCAAUGACCCAAAGUCACACAGGCAAUAAUUGCCAACAUCUUCAAAAUCUUCAAAGCCAGAGAGCUGAUAUAUGAACAAUAGGGUAGCAGGUACGCCGUGCAUGCCAGUUCCCUUCCCUUCUCCCUCAGUCUCUGGUACACCCUUGACCCUCUAUUUCCAUGGCCUUUGGGUGCUGGUCAGCCAGCCACCCUGGGUUCACUCCCAGACCAGAGCCGGAUCAGUCCAGGAAGCAGGGUGCAGUUCUG
rnacentral:lncRNA from 1 species